GAUGAACGCUGGCGGCGUGCCUAAUACAUGCAAGUCGAACGCGCAGCGAGAGGUGCUUGCACCUUUCAAGCGAGUGGCGAACGGGUGAGUAACACGUGGAUAACCUGCCUCAAGGCUGGGGAUAACAUUUGGAAACAAAUGCUAAUACCGAAUAAAACUUAGUAUCGCAUGAUAUCAAGUUAAAAGGCGCUACGGCGUCACCUAAAGAUGGAUCCGCGGUGCAUUAUUUAGUUGGGGGGGUAAAGGCUUACCAAGACAAUGAUGCAUAGCCAAGUUGAGAGACUGAUCGGCCACAUUGGGACUGAGACACGGCCCAAACUCCUACGGGAGGCAGCAGUGGGGAAUCUUCCGCAAUGGGCGAAAGCCUGACGGAGCAACGCCGCGUGAGUGAUGACGGCCUUCGGGUUGUAAAGCUCUGUGAUCGGGGACAAACGGUCAGCAAACAAAUACUCUGCUGAAGUGACGGUACCCGAAUAGCAAGCCACGGCUAACUACGUG
rnacentral:rRNA from 1 species